rnacentral:tRNA from 1 species
UCCCUGAUAGCUCAGUUGGUAAAGAAUCUGCCUGCAAUGCAGGAGACCCAGGUUCGAUUCCUGGGUUGGGAA